GAUGAACGCUGGCGGCGUGCCUAAUACAUGCAAGUCGAGCGAACAGACGAGGAGCUUGCUCCUCUGACGUUAGCGGCGGACGGGUGAGUAACACGUGGAUAACCUACCUAUAAGACUGGGAUAACUUCGGGAAACCGGAGCUAAUACCGGAUAAUAUAUUGAACCGCAUGGUUCAAUAGUGAAAGACGGUUUUGCUGUCACUUAUAGAUGGAUCCGCGCCGCAUUAGCUAGUUGGUAAGGUAACGGCUUACCAAGGCAACGAUGCGUAGCCGACCUGAGAGGGUGAUCGGCCACCCUGGAACUGAGACACGGUCCAGACUCCUACGGGAGGCAGCAGUAGGGAAUCUUACGCAAUGGGCGAAAGCCUGACGGAGCAACGCCGCGUGAGUGAUGAAGGUCUUCGGAUCGUAAAACUCUGUUAUUAGGGAAGAACAAAUGUGUAAGUACCUAUGCACGUCUUGACGGUACCUAAUCAGAAAGCCACGGCUAACUACGUG
rnacentral:rRNA from 1 species